UUCACUGGGUUUAAAGGGUGCGUAGGCGGGUUUGUAAGUCAGUGGUGAAAUCCCCGAGCUUAACUUGGGAACUGCCAUUGAUACUGCAAGUCUUGAAUUUUCUGGAGGUAAGCGGAAUAUGUCAUGUACCGGUGAAAUGCUUAGAUAUGACAUAGAACACCCAUUGCGAAGGCAGCUUACUACGGGAAUAUUGACGCUGAGGCACGAAAGCGUGGGGAUCAAACAGGAUUAGAUACCCUGGUAGUCCACGCCCUAAACGAUGAUUACUCGACAUUAGCGAUAUUACAGUUAGUGUCUAAGCGAAAGCAUUAAGUAAUCCACCUGGGAAGUACGACCGCAAGGUUGAAACUCAAAGGAAUUGGCGGGGGUCCGCACAAGUGGUGGAGCAUGUGGUUUAAUUCGAUGAUACGCGAGGAACCUUACCUGGGCUAGAAUGCUGGGAGACUGAUGGUGAAAGCCAUCUUUGUAGCAAUACACUGCCAGUAAGGUGCUGCAUGGCUGUCGUCAGCUCGUGCCGUGAGGUGUUGGGUUAAGUCCCGCAACGAGCGCAACCCCUAUCUUUAGUUGCCAUCAGGUAAUGCUGGGAACUCUAAAGAAACUGCCGUCGUAAGACGUGAGGAAGGAGGGGAUGAUGUCAAGUCAUCAUGGCCUUUAUGCCCAGGGCUACACACGUGCUACAAUGGGAAGGACAAAGGGCUGCCACUUAGCGAUAAGGAGCUAAUCCCAAAAACCUUCUCUCAGUUCAGAUUGGAGUCUGCAACUCGACUCCAUGAAGCUGGAAUCACUAGUAAUCG
rnacentral:rRNA from 1 species